UUAACUGAUAAAUUUGCCGGCGAAGAA
rnacentral:piRNA from 1 species